rnacentral:rRNA from 1 species
GAUCCUGGCUCAGGAUGAACGCUAGCUACAGGCUUAACACAUGCAAGUCGAGGGGAAACGACAUCGAAAGCUUGCUUUUGAUGGGUCGUCGACCGGCGCACGGGUGAGUAACGCGUAUCCAACCUGCCCUUUACUCGGGGAUAGCCUUCUGAAAGGAAGUUUAAUACCCGAUGAAUUCGUUUAGUCGCAUGGCUUGAUGAAGAAAGAUUUAUCAGUAAAGGAUAGGGGAUGCGUCCCAUUAGCUUGUUGG